rnacentral:lncRNA from 1 species
AAGUAUUUGUUUUCAGGCAAAAGCAAGCCUCCAAAAGCCCCUUGGUUCUUCUCUAUGUGUCUCGCCCCUUCUGCCUUGUACACCAGACUGCCGGCAAGCAAGCGGGGAGGUAGAGAACAGCUGGGAUCCUCCAGUGAAAAGGUUGCUCAGCGCGAGAGAUGUCAAGAGGCUGGGAUUGUCGCCCAUCGGGAGAAGAAUUCCACAGAUGAAUUGGUUCUGCCCUGUAUCUUUGAAUGGUUUUUAUUUUCUGAUGUCCAGUGUGGCAGCCUGGCAGAGACAUUUAGUUGAAAGAACACGGGGCUCUGGAAACAACCAGUCCUCCUUGGUUCAUAUUCUCGUGUUGUCACUUAUUAACCGAGUGACAUUGGAGGUGAUAUGCUGCAGUUUAUCACUGAGGUCCUGAGAUGGUCCAUACUCUAAGCUUUGUGUCUACUGUAGGGGGCAAAGGGAAAACUUCCCCCUUGCUCUCUGAAGAGUCAUUGAAAAUCAACUGACAAAAGAAUCUAAAACAUACCUGGAAAUGGAGAGUCCUGACAUGAUGGCCCCAUGAUGAAAAGAACCCAGGUUCCUGAGUCACCACGUGGACACAAGGCACCAAGGAGAAAACACGUGAACCUUAAUAAGUUUGGGGGUACACCUCCUUGCCAUGUGUUACCUUCUGUCCUGUUAUGAUGCAGCAAGAAGGCCCUAACCAGUGGUAGUCCCUCAGUCCUGGACUUCUCAGCCUCCAGAACU